UNCAAGGCUGCUUACUAAGUUUGAAACCACU
rnacentral:piRNA from 1 species